CCUACGGGAGGCAGCAGUGGGGGAUAUUGCACAAUGGGGGGAACCCUGAUGCAGCGACGCCGCGUGGGUGAAGAAGCGCCUCGGCGCGUAAAGCCCUGUCAGCAGGGAAGAAAAUGACGGUACCUGAAGAAGAAGCCCCGGCUAACUACGUACCAGCAGCCGCGGGAAUACGUAGGGGGCAAGCGUUAUCCGGAUUUACUGGGGGUAAAGGGGGGGGAGACGGCGAUGGAAGCCAGGAGUGAAAGCCCGGGGCCCAACCCCGGGACUGCUCUUGGAACUGCGGGGCUGGAGUGCAGGAGGGGCAGGCGGAAUUCCUGGUGUAGCGGUGAAAUGCGUAGAUAUCAGGAGGAACACCGGUGGCGAAGGCGGCCUGCUGGACUGCAACUGACGUUGAGGCCCGAAAGCGUGGGGAGCAAACAGGAUUAGAUACCCGGGUAGUC
rnacentral:rRNA from 1 species